CCUUACGGGGAAAGAUUUAUCGCCGAAAGAUCGGCCCGCGUCUGAUUAGCUAGUUGGUGAGGUAACGGCUCACCAAGGCGACGAUCAGUAGCUGGUCUGAGAGGAUGAUCAGCCACAUUGGGACUGAGACACGGCCCAAACUCCUACGGGAGGCAGCAGUGGGGAAUAUUGGACAAUGGGCGCAAGCCUGAUCCAGCCAUGCCGCGUGAGUGAUGAAGGCCCUAGGGUUGUAAAGCUCUUUUGUGCGGGAAGAUAAUGACGGUACCGCAAGAAUAAGCCCCGGCUAACUUCGUGCCAGCAGCCGCGGUAAUACGAAGGGGGCUAGCGUUGCUCGGAAUCACUGGGCGUAAAGGGUGCGUAGGCGGGUCUUUAAGUCAGGGGUGAAAUCCUGGAGCUCAACUCCAGAACUGCCUUUGAUACUGAAGAUCUUGAGUUCGGGAGAGGUGAGUGGAACUGCGAGUGUAGAGGUGAAAUUCGUAGAUAUUCGCAAGAACACCAGUGGCGAAGGCGGCUCACUGGCCCGAUACUGACGCUGAGGCACGAAAGCGUGGGGAGCAAACAGGAUUAUAUACCCUGGUAGUCCACGCCGUAAACGAUGAAUGCCAGCCGUUAGUGGGUUUACUCACUAGUGGCGCAGCUAACGCUUUAAGCAUUCCGCCUGGGGAGUACGGUCGCAAGAUUAAAACUCAAAGGAAUUGACGGGGGC
rnacentral:rRNA from 1 species